UGGAUAACCUACCUAUAAGACUGGGAUAACUUCGGGAAACCGGAGCUAAUACCGGAUAAUAUUUUGAACCGCAUGGUUCAAAAGUGAAAGACGGUCUUGCUGUCACUUAUAGAUGGAUCCGCGCUGCAUUAGCUAGUUGGUAAGGUAACGGCUUACCAAGGCAACGAUGCAUAGCCGACCUGAGAGGGUGAUCGGCCACACUGGAACUGAGACACGGUCCAGACUCCUACGGGAGGCAGCAGUAGGGAAUCUUCCGCAAUGGGCGAAAGCCUGACGGAGCAACGCCGCGUGAGUGAUGAAGGUCUUCGGAUCGUAAAACUCUGUUAUUAGGGAAGAACAUAUGUGUAAGUAACUGUGCACAUCUUGACGGUACCUAAUCAGAAAGCCACGGCUAACUACGUGCCAGCAGCCGCGGUAAUACGUAGGUGGCAAGCGUUAUCCGGAAUUAUUGGGCGUAAAGCGCGCGUAGGCGGUUUUUUAAGUCUGAUGUGAAAGCCCACGGCUCAACCGUGGAGGGUCAUUGGAAACUGGAAAACUUGAGUGCAGAAGAGGAAAGUGGAAUUCCAUGUGUAGCGGUGAAAUGCGCAGAGAUAUGGAGGAACACCAGUGGCGAAGGCGACUUUCUGGUCUGUAACUGACGCUGAUGUGCGAAAGCGUGGGGAUCAAACAGGAUUAGAUACCCUGGUAGUCCACGCCGUAAACGAUGAGUGCUAAGUGUUAGGGGGUUUCCGCCCCUUAGUGCUGCAGCUAACGCAUUAAGCACUCCGCCUGGGGAGUACGACCGCAAGGUUGAAACUCAAAGGAAUUGACGGGGACCCGCACAAGCGGUGGAGCAUGUGGUUUAAUUCGAAGCAACGCGAAGAACCUUACCAAAUCUUGACAUCCUUUGACAACUCUAGAGAUAGAGCCUUCCCCUUCGGGGGACAAAGUGACAGGUGGUGCAUGGUUGUCGUCAGCUCGUGUCGUGAGAUGUUGGGUUAAGUCCCGCAACGAGCGCAACCCUUAAGCUUAGUUGCCAUCAUUAAGUUGGGCACUCUAAGUUGACUGCCGGUGACAAACCGGAGGAAGGUGGGGAUGACGUCAAAUCAUCAUGCCCCUUAUGAUUUGGGCUACACACGUGC
rnacentral:rRNA from 1 species